AGCAGUCGCCGCGGGAAUACGGGGGGGGCAAGUGUUAUUCGGAAUGACUGGGCGUAAAGGGCACGUAGGCGGUGAAAAGGGUGGAAAGUGAAAGUCGCCAAAACACUGGCGGGGUGCUUUCUUGACCAUUUCACUUGAGUGAGAUAGGGGAGAGUGGAAUUUCGUGUGGAGGGAUCAAAUCCUAAGAUAUACGAAGGAACGCCAACCGCGAAGGCAGCUCUCUGGGUCCCCACUGACGCUGGGGUGCGAAAGCAUGGGGAGCAAACAGGAUCAGAUACCCCAGUAGUCCCUGUCUCUUAUACA
rnacentral:rRNA from 1 species